GUCCCUGAAGGCCGCACACCGUCCCGUCAGACGUGAUAUCCCUCCGCGGCCCUUCUUUCCCUCCCGACACACAGGAGGUAAACGGGCGGCGGUGCUUCUUCCUCGCGGUGACGAAGCGUCUUCCUCACGGUGACGAAGCUUCUUCCUCGCGGUGACGGUGCUUCACGGCGCCUUCAGAGAGACACAAACACCGAGCGAGCACCGGGGGAACACUCCCGCCUCUUCUCUAUCACCGACCGACCCCCGCCGGAAGCGCGGCGCUGAGGAGAGAAAGUAAUCCGGGCUGAGAGCGCGAAGAGAGAUCCGGGAGCAUGGAGCUCAUCACGAUCCUCGAGAAGACCGUCUCUCCAGAUCGCAAUGAACUGGAGGCGGCGCAGAAGUUUCUGGAGCAGGCGGCGGUAGAGAACCUGCCCACGUUCCUGGUGGAGCUCAGAGUAUAACACUAUAUGU